AGUCAGAGCCUACUCGUCGAGUCUGGCUGCCGACUCGACGAGUCCGUCACUUAAGUCUCGUGUCAAAACCCACUCCCGCUCGACGGGUUGGGCCUUCAACUCGCCGAGUCCCAGGUCAAAAAUGCAAAAUACAUCAAAAAUAAAUUGCAUACCAGGAACCGAGUGCUACAGGAGAGCCACUAGAAGAAUUGUUAUCCUGCAUAUGCGACUUCAUCAACAACCAUAUCAGGUACCGAUUUCUGCUGCUUCUUAUUAAUAUGCCUGCGUUUUUUUUCAAAGAACAAGGUUGGUUGUCGAUUUAUUUUUUUCCUCGGUCGAUUCCAUCUAUAACUAUUUUGGGUGAUGUAAAUUUCGUCUAUGGUACUUUACUAUUAAUCUUUUCUUCUGUUUGUUUUGUUCUAAGCCUGCUGAAUGUAUUUUCUUCCAUUCCUCGACUGUUGUGAUCUCAGAAGGAGGUUUCGUGCCUUGCUGCCAGACCUCAGAAAUCCAAUUUCAUGGGUCACUGAUUGACCUCUUUUCUUCUCCAAUGCUCCUAAUUUCACUAGGUUUGUCACAAAAAACUACUAGAAAUUGUCACCAUUAGAAGUAUGUAUUUGUCAGUUCCCAUUAUUUAGUAUUCAAUUUAAUCUUUAUGUUGUAUAUGAAUUGAAAUUAUAAAAUUAUUAUUAAAAAAAAGGAAUAGCUAAUUUGUUUCAUCUUUGUAUGGAGUUUUCUUUUCAGGUAUUCAUCUUAUAAAACAAUUGAUAUAUGGUUCUUCAAGGUAUGUGAAGCUAAAAAAAUUGAACAUCAAACUCACUUAGAAAGAAAAACUAUCUGAUGCACCAAGAGAUGAAUAUGAUGAUAUACUUCAUGCCCUACGUACUUCCCAUUAGAAAGAAUUCAAAUUAAGGAAAUCAUGGGUUUUGUAUUACAUAACAUGCAAAUUGCUAGAAAGUUAAAUAUUCCAGUUUCUCUUUCGCAAGUGGUAAGGGUAAAAUGGUCAUUUAUAUAAAACCAAUGUUUUAGUGUAUUGGUGUUCCUUUGUUUCUUAAUCAGCUUUAUUGGUUAUUGUUUAUUGUUAUCAAAGAACUAAUUUUUUUCAUAUUUAGUUUUGAUUGUAUUCAAGAUUUAAGAUAAGUUCUCUUAAAGAAAGUUAUAUCUUUAUAUGCUAACUUCUUCCCUCUAAUCAUCAUUUAGUAAACUAAAAGAAACAUGGAAUACAUUACCAAAGUAAAACCAUUCCAUGAAAAUCUUACUGCCAUUAAUUUCCACUGAAUCGAAUCACUUGAAACUUUUGUUUCUUCCUGUCUUUUGCAGCCUGUUAAAAGCACAGUGACAAUCUGUGGGGAUAUUCAUGGAUAAUUUCAUGAUCUUGCAGAGCUUUUUAGGAUUGAUGGAAAGAUACAGGGAACAACAUGAGUUGCAAUUGUUGGUCCUCUUGGACCUAUCACACCUCAAAGAAAACCGAUGAUCAACUUCGCAAAGCAAAAGAUUGUUGUUGCUGAUGCUGUAAGAUUGGAUCAACGGAAUGGGUUGAAGUAAAAGAAGCUAUGUUAGCUUCAAAAGUUGUUGCUUACUUAAAUGUUGAUAUUGUGGUUUUCCGGAGCAGAGUGGUGAAAAUAUUCUAAAGGUUACACCUCGAGAGUAUAACCGACUAUCUCCUCCAGUAAUGCCUCCGACCACGAAAAUUUGGGAGGCUGUGGAAAAGUCAAUCUGAACUUGCAUAAAGUUCAUUUAGGCCACCUUAUGGAGCUGGUAAUCCUCUAAUUUUUCCACACAUUUGGCAUAUGGAUUUAUUAAUCCACAAGACCAAGAGGGUAAUAUUGUCAUAUCUACAAUCUGUUGAUGUCAUUUACUCCUUAAAUUCCGUUGUUUACAUUGUUUUAGAGUAUUCUAAUCAGAAGAAAUCAAAGAUGAUAACGGUAAUCAUAAGAACAGUUACCCAUUGUUGCUUCUUUGUUUCUUUGUCUUUCUGUUUGAUUUGAGGAUGCAAUAUGCACAUAAGUUUUGAUGUUUUUUUUAUUUCUUUGGAAUUGUAUAUGAGAUUUUGGUUUCUUGGGCUUUAGUGACUAUCCAGACAUUUAAUCUUGAAGAUGUUCUCUUACAGGAUACAAAUGUUGCAAAUUGUUUGCACUCUACACAAGAAAAUGUUUUUUUUUUGCAUUACUAUGUUUCUAUAUCCAACUUUUUACGACUUUCAUAUCUAGGCUUUUAUUGAUGAGUAAUUUCUUUUGCAUUUAAGGAUUCAAACAUUAGUUCCCAACAAAAGCAAAAACAACCAUAAUACAUACCGAAAAAGAAAAAAAUAAAACCCUGAUCAAAACCGAACCCCGCGGAGCGGGGUACCCCAGCUAGUUUAUUUUAAAAUUGUAGGAAUAAUAUUCCGGUAAUGUACGA